CAACUACUCCCUCUGUCCCAAAUUUCUUGUCUUAGAUUUGUCUAGAUACGGAUGUAUCUGAUACUAAAAUGUGACUUGAUACAUCCGUAUCUAGACAAAUCUAAGACAAGAAUUUUGGGACGGAGGGAGUACUUU
rfam:Triticum aestivum genome assembly, contig: Triticum_aestivum_CS42_TGACv1_scaffold_320715_4BL